rnacentral:misc_RNA from 1 species
UGCUUCGGGCAGCGACGGCGCGCGUCUCCCGCGAGUCAUCAGUUUCGGCUGGAGUGAGGCACGGCCUCGGCCGAGACCCGGUUGGUUUCUUGUGCUGCGUACCCGCGAGAGGGGCAUCCUUCUCUCGUUCCAACUGUCCCUCUUUUCGUCCGCUGCUCCCCCUUGGCGGCGGGGCAGGCGACGGAGCACGUACGUAGGCCGGUCCGUUACCCGCGUCGCCUCCGGCUGUCGCGGUGAGCGGGCACUGCCCGAGCUCUCGGAUGCGGAAAGCACCGUGGGGCGCCGACGACUUGCGCCCGACUCAGACCCCCGACCCAUCAGACGACCGUCGCUCCCGUCGCGGCCCGGCCGCGCGGGACUGACGUCGCCGAGGAAUGCUACCUGGUUGAUCCUGCCAGU